rnacentral:misc_RNA from 1 species
AGAUCAUCGGCGUGUGGUCCACUCUGGUGCCGCGCGAGAAGGUCGCCCCGGUCAUCACCUGGUAUGAGAGCUGACCCAUGCUGAUCAAACUUGAGCGCGUGGCGCAUGUGCGGUCCGGCGACAAGGGCAACACGUCGAAUAUCGCGGUGAUCGCCUAUCGCGACGAAUUCUACCCGCUGCUGAAAGCGCAAUUGACCGCGGCAAGUUUCAAGGCGUUCUAUCGCGGCGCGAUCAAGGGCGAUGUCACGCGCUAUGAGGCGGACAAUCUGGCGGCGCUGAAUUUCGUCGCGGAGGGUGCCCUCGGCGGCGGUGUCUCGCGCAG